CCUACGGGUGGCAGCAGUGGGGAAUAUUGGACAAUGGGCGAAAGCCUGAUCCAGCCAAGUCGCGUGAAGGAUGACGGCCCUCCGUGUUGUAAACUCCUUUUGUCAGGAAGCAAUUGGGUCCACGCGUGGGCUUAGCGAGCGUACCUUAAGACAAAGCAUCGGCUAACUCAGUUCCAGAAGCCGCGUUAAUCCGGUGGAUGAGGGGGUGAUCCGGCUUUGUGGGGGUUAAGGGGUGCGUAGGCGGAAUAUCAAGUCAGCGGUAAAAAUUCGGGGAUAAACCCCGUCGUGCCGUUGAAACUGAUGUGCUUGAGUGGGGGAGAGGUAUGCGGAAUGCGUGGUGUAGCGGUGAAAUGCAUAGAUAUCACGCAGAACUCCGAUGGCGAAGGCAGCAUACUGGCGCCCAACUGACGCUGAAGCACGAAAGCGUGGGUAGCGAACAGGAUUAGAUACCCCUGUAGUC
rnacentral:rRNA from 1 species